CGGGUUGUCCUAAUCGACUGUGGGCUUACCAUAGGGUAAUCCACUGUUUUAGGCGGAUCGGUGCAGUAAGGAUUCAACGGUGACCACUUUUUCGUAACAUUAAUUAAAGUUAUUAAUUUAUGGUUUUAUUAUUAUUUUGGUAGUCAUUUUGAGAGUUUGUAAUUUUUUGGACUCUCUGGAUUGUUUGAUUUUUAAUUGGUUAUUUCGGAAUUAUUUGAUUAUUUAAUUACUUUGGUGAAAGGUUUUAUUAAAAA